CCUCUCUUUUUAAAAUAAAAUUGUCUUAGCUCAUAUUAAUAGAGGCAGACAAAGACCUUGUACUUUAUAUAGGGUGCUUCAUCCUUGCAGUCUCAGAGCACUUUAUAAAUAGAUAGGCGACAUCAAAGACGGAAAAGAGUGCUCAAGGGCAGAAGCAUCACACCAUGACUCUUAACAACGUAGUAAACCAUCCUUUGCUUAAAGGGACCAUCCUUAUAUCUUCAUUUGUUAAUAGGGUUAUUGUCUCCUCCAGUUUACUUCAUAUGUCAUGGGAAUAAGAGAAGAGCUGAAGGAAUCAGUAAAUGCUUUACACAGUAGAAGUAAAUGAUUUGACUUGAUUAAUCUGAUUUUCACUGUAGAAUUCUAUGGUGAGAGUCACUGAACAACAACAACAACAACAAAAAUAGCCAGAAAAUUCUCAACUGAAAAAAAAACCCUGGUGUCUCAGCCAAAGUCUGCUCUGAAGUACAAAUUAUAAAUGUGGCUUCAUUACUGAGGCUUUUAAACUAUAUGUCCAAAUAGGAUUUCCUACCUGAUAUUCUCAGUUUAGCUAUGUUAUUAUGUAAAAUUCAUACUUCUAGAUUUGAUAACUUUAUCCCAGUUCAGGCAAAAUCUAAUAUUCCUCAGUAGCAAAUCUAUCAUGUAAUUGCUUUAACAUUCAAAACAUGCUUUUCUGAAUAACUCCUCUUCCAAAAAACAAAUUCCUUCCCCUAAGUGACAGGGCACUGUAGUUCACCAGCACACACCCAUUUAAAAAGCUGCAAUGAAAUCCUCAGAGAUAAGAUAGCAGAGGAGCGUGGAUAUACACUUCGUAAUUACCCUUACUGGAACAUGAUCUCAAUCACAGCUUCACCAUCUGCACUCCUACAGAUGCUUCUUGUUUGGUUGGUAUCCACAGGUAACUGUGACUAUGGUCCAACAAAAACCUACCUAUCAAAACCAGUAUUAAACCUGCUCAAUAACUAAACAAGGAUCUUUCCAUUUAAAAAGUGAUUGUUGAAACUUAAAAUAAAAUGUUAGGCUGUUAUUGUUUAAAAUUCAGCAGUACUGGUGUAGUUGGAAUUGCGGUGCGAAGUGUUGGUCCUUCUCAUGCAGGCAGCAGAGCAGCCCAGCCAGGAGCUGCAAGCUAUAUUUUUGUGGCUGCAAGCUCAGUAUUUUGUGGAGUUUCAUUUAUGUUCUCAUUUUUAC
ensembl:lncRNA